rnacentral:rRNA from 1 species
UACGUAGGUGGCAAGCGUUGUCCGGAUUUACUGGGCGUAAAGAGCGCGCAGGCGGCCGAGUAAGUCGAAUGUGAAAGCCCCCGGCUCAACUGGGGAAGGUCAUUCGAUACUGUUCGGCUUGAAGAUAGGAGAGGGAAGCGGAAUUUCAGGUGUAGUGGUGAAAUGCGUAGAUAUCUGAAGGAACACCAGUGGCGAAGGCGGCUUUCUGGCCUAUUCUUGACGCUGAGACGCGAAAGCGUGGGGAGCGAACAGG